GCCCAGACCAGGACUCGAACCUGGAUCAUUUGGUAGAGCAUUUGGCGCGUAACCAAAAGAUCCAGGUUCGAGUCCUGGUCUGGGCU
rnacentral:tRNA from 1 species